rnacentral:lncRNA from 1 species
CGGUUUUAGAACUAUAGUGAUAUGAAUACAUGUUUGUAUUCCUGACUCUAAAGUGUUCCUUUAAACUGGUUUAGAGAACAGAAAGAGACUGUCUGUUUGUAUAUAACCUCCAUAUAUGUUUAUAGCUGUUAGAUUGUUAGGCUCAUUAUCGACCUUUCUCCCUAUGCUUGGUCACUUAUAAUGUCCUGUGGACAUAAUACAAAUGCUAUUUUAGUACAGACCUUUUGGCCCUUUUUUCAAUAAAGCCUUUUUGUAUGUUCCCUACUAUUUUAUAUAUACUGUUAAGUUUAAGUAAUCACUAACCGAUGAGUGAAGGAACCUCAUGAACUAUAUUUUUACCACUUACAACAAACUACACACUGUAUGGGUAUUGGGUGGUUACUUAUCAUAAGGAUGAAUUGUGCACUACUUGCAAACACCAGUUAGCAGGUCCCAUCUGUUUUAACUCUUGGAAAUGGCUAAACAUUCUCAUUUAGAAUUAAGGAUUAACCCCUGGACCUAUAUAUUUGUAUUUUUCAUUGUUCUAUUUUUUUUGAGAGCAAAAAACUUGCAGUGACUCUGUCCAAGUGUGAAAGAUUACAGCUACAAUCGAUUAGUCAGAGGUGAACAAUGAGGGCACAACUUAACUGCCUCAUACAGAAGGAGACAAUACAAAGGAUUAAGGAGACAAUCUCUGCCAUAUACACAUGAAACUAAUUAUCUGUUACUUUUAUUUUCAGAUGGAUAAUCUUGAUGACUGUCAAUUACUGGCUACCUCAUACAAAUAGUAAGGGUGACAUUGUUAUUGGUAAAGUACAUUUCAUUAACGAAACACUACCACCUAAACAUUAAAAUAGUGUAGUCGUGAAUUAAAUAUCACUAUGCUAUGUGUAAUUUUUAUAUUUUAACUAUUUAAAAAAAAAAAAAAAAGAAUUGGACACUUCACAAAGUCCCACUUGAGACAUACAGAGCUUGGAGACACUGAACGUGGGUGCUGCACACUGUGCAGCAGUGACCCAGGACUCUCUAGUGGCUGUCUGAGUGACUGUCACUAGAGGUGUUACUAAGCACAAUGUAAACCCUGCAUUUCAGCUGAAAAGGCAGGGUUUACAUUAAAAAAGCCUGCAGGGACAGGCUUUAGACUACAUCAAGCUGUAGUGUUUAUGGUGACUAUAGUGUCCCUUUAAGAAUUACAUUUUGUCUCGCUGAAAAUGACGGGCUCCUAACUUUUUUAGCGGCUCCUAGAUUGCUAACAAAAUUUUCAAGCCCUGCAAUAGCCUAUGGGAAAGCAUUGGAUUGGCUGAGAUUGUCACAUUCAAUGAUCAGGGGCAAGGCAGGGCCGGCCGAGGUGACACUGGCACGGUGCUGGAAAAAAGUAAAGUGAGUAAAGAGAGGGGGACAGUGGACCUAAAUAGUGAUUUUUCCACUAUUGCAUCAGGAAUACACAUUUGUAUUCCUGACACUAUAGUGUUCUUUUAAAAAUGGUUACACAAAUAUCAAUACAUUCUGCAUCCAUCGACUUUUGGGUUGAAACUGUACAGUCCAUGGCUGAUUUAUGGUCAAUUGUCCUCUUUUUUUUUUUUUUUUUUUAUUUCUGUGCCCAAUGGAUUUACAGUGAUAUACAGGUAAUGCACAAAAGUAAUUAUCUACCUCCUGAAAUGGCGAGUGAGGUUACUCUACGGUAGCUGUUUUGUACCAUGUCUCUUUUUGUUUGAAGUUAAUGGGAGUUGUAGUCAAUAUUAGAAUAUUGGGGAAACAAAAAUAAUCUUCAGAUCUUAUGCAUAAAAGAUCAGCUCACCAUAAGUUUCUACCUCUUUUUUUCUUUAUUUUUGGUGUAUACGUAUUAAGCUGCAGGUCUAGGAAGAACUGUUAACCCCUUAAGGACAGAGGAUAUUGUCCAAGUUCUGAACCAAAAUGAAACCUAGGAUUUGAGCUAUAUGUCUGGUCAAUCAUAAUUCACCGCUUUCAUAUUAAUUGCACCCACACUUAUUAUUAAUCAUUUUGUUCAGGAGAAACAGGGCAUUAAUUUCCCAUCAAAAUUUUAUUUAUGAAGCAUAAUUUUAUAUGAUUAACCCCUUAAGGACCGAGGACGGUUCAGGACCGUCAUCGGCAUUUUCCCAUUGCCGACCGAUGACGGUCCUGAACCGUCCCAACGGUCUUAGUUACUUACCUGAUCGCCGUCGUUCCCCCGUCGGCGAUCAGCGUUGCUCCCGUUGUGGGACAGUCUCCCCACGCUGGAUUAGGACCCCUGUGGCCAUGUGAUCACUUAACACAGCGAUCACAUGGUCACAAUAGAUGUCUGCCUGCAGGGGGACUGUCUGUGCUGACAGGCAGUCUCCCUGCAUGUGUAAAAUCAAUAAAAAAAAUAAAGUUAGUGUUAAUAAAAAUUAAAAAAAAUUAUAUGUGUGUGCGUAUGUGUGUAUAUAUAUAUAUAUAUAUAUAUAUGAUAUAUAGACAUAUAUUAUAUAUAUAUUUAUAUAUAAUAUAUGUCUAUAUAUCAUAUGUAUAUAAUGUCAUACUAAGUGUAUUUUUAUAUUAAUAUGUACUUAUAUUAAUAUAAAAAUACACUUAUAAUUAAAUUAAACACGUAUAUAUAUAAUAUAUAUAAUAACUUUAUAUAUUGUGUAUAUAUAUAUAUUGUAAAAUAUAAAUAAUAAGUAAUUUAAAUAAAUUUUUAAAAAAAAUAAUAAAAAUUGAAAAAAAAUUAUAUCUAUAUGAAAUUUUAUUCUAACUGUAUUUUAAAAUUUAUAUAUAUUUAUAUCAAAAUAAACUUAGAAUGAAUUUGUAUAUAUAUCUAUGUAUAUAUAAAUAAAUAAAAAUAAUACGAAAUAUACAUGUCCAUGUACAAAAUUACAUAAAUAAUUAUAUAAAUAUACACGUAGACUUCAGCUAUAUAAAUAUGCAUAUAUAUUUAAAUUCUACGUGCGUAUUUAUGUAAUAUUUUUACAUAAGUAAUUUUAUUGAUUGCAAUUUGAGAGACCUGCCUGCCAACCCAGGCCGAAAGUCCAGAGAAUUUAAUUUGCUAGCACUGUAUUUUACCCUUUAACGUUCUACGACUUCCUAAAACCUGUACAUGGGGGGUACUGUUUUACUCGGGAGACUUCGCUGAACACAAAUAUUAGUGAUUCAAAACAGUAAAACAUAUCACAGCGAUGAUAUUGUCAGUGAAAGUGACUUUUUUUGCAUUUUUCACACACAAACAGCACUUUUACUGAUAAUAUAAUUGUUUUGAUACGUUUUCCAGUUUUUCCCGAGUAAAACAGCACCCCACAUGUACAGGUUUUAUCGCAUUUUUGAAAGUUACAGGGUCAAAUAUAUCGGUCAAAUAUUUUUACAUUGAAAAUGGCCAGGUUGGUUACAUUGCCUUUCAGAACGUAUGGUAGCCCAGGAAUGAGAAUUACCCCCAUGAUGGCAUACCAUUUGCAAAAGAAGACAACCCAAGGUAUUGCAAAUGGGGUAUGUCAAGUCUUUUUUAGUAACCACUUGGUCACAAACACUGGCCAAAAUUAGCGUUCAAUUUAGUUUUUUUACUUUUUUCACACACAAACAAAUAUGAAUGCUUACUUUGGCCAGUGUUUUCGACUAAGUGGCUACUAAAAAAGACUGGACAUACCCCAUAUUGAAUACCCUGGGUUGUCUACUUUAAAAAAAAAUACGUACAUGUGGGGUGUUAUUCAGAGAUUUAUGACAGAUAAUAGUGUUACAAUGUCACUAUUGAUAAAUUUUAAAAAUGUAUGUUUUGAAACCACAAUAUCCUACUUGUACCUAUAGCCCUAUAACAUGCAAAAAAAAGCACGUAAACACUGGGUAUUUUUAAACUCAGGACAAAACUUUGAAUCUAUUUAGCAGUUUUUUUCAUUCGUUUUUGUAGAUGAGUAAAAGAUUUUUCAAGUAAAAGUCAAAAAACAUGUAUUUUUUUCAAUUUUUCAUCAUAUUUUUUUUUAAUUAAAAUACAUGAGAUUAUAUAAAUAAUGGUAUGUAAAGAAAGCCCCUUUUGUCCUGAAAAAAAAAUAUAUAAUUUGUGUGGGAACAGUAAAUGAGAGAGCGGAAAAUUACAGCCAAACACAAACACCACAAAAGUGUAAAAAUAUGCCUGGUCGCUAAUGUACAACAUCGCAAAAACAGUCCAGUCCUUAAGGGGUUAAAAUCUAAGAAAUGUUCAUUUUUCAAUUUCUGCGUGCAGGGUCGUCUUUAAUAUUGAUUGGACCCUGGGCAAAGCAUUUGCUUGGGCCUUCUGGACCCUGUACAACCUCCCCAGGUGUGCAAUCACCCUUAACGCAGUGGCAUCCUAAAGUAGAGAGGUGCAAGAAUAUUUUUUGGGCUCUCCAUAUUGCAAAGAUGUUUAAAAGGUAGAUCUACAUUGACACACAUUCACAGACACACACAGGCAUACUGACACAUACACUGACAGACAUAUUGAAACACACAUAUACAAAGACAUACGGACAUACAUUCACAGGCAUACUGACACACACACUGACAGACAUACUGACACACACAGGCAGACAUACUGACACAUACAUUGACAGACAUACUGACAUAGACAUAUACUGAGACAUUCACAGAUACACACACACUGACAGGCAUACUGACACAUACACUGACAGACAUUCUAACGCACACAGGCAGACAUACUGACAGACCUAUUGACACACACAAGCAGAAAUACUGACACAUAGACUGACAGACAUAAUGACACACACAGGCAGACAUACUGACACAUACACUGACAGACAUAAUGACAUACAGACAUAUACUGAGACAUUCACAGGUACACACACACACUGGCAGACAUACUGACACACACACACACAGACACACAAAAUUUACACUAUUAAACCCACCCUCCAGUGUCCUACCUUGGAGGAUGAUGUUCCCACUGGUGGCUGAAGCUGUUGGGAGUUGGGGGUCUAGCUAGUUCGGCUCGGCCCAGAUGCCCUCCGCUCUUCCUCUUCCUCCUCCCACGCGGCUCCUCUCUUUAUGGGAGGAAGUGACUUGCGGCCGUCACUUCAGCCCAGCUGACGAAAAGCGAGAGGGCCAGAUCGCAAGACUGGGCCCCCGCUCACAGAAGCCCACCGGGUGGUCCUUAGUGCAUGGGCCACCCGGUUGGCCUCCUUAGUGUGGCUCACCGGCGGGUGGGAGUAACUGGGCCCGGGGCAGCUGCCUCGUUUUCCCCGCGGUUCAAUAAUGUCUCAUGAUUAAAACACUACCCCCAGGUUUUUAUGGAGUUUUGGAAAGUUACAAUGUCUAAUAUAGAGCUUUCCACUUUUCAGUUUUUACUCACUGAAAUUUGCUAGAUUGGUUUGCCUGGAAUGAGAAUUACCCCCAUCAUGGCAUACCAUUUGCAAAACUAGUCAAUUCUAAAUUGGGUAUGUCCAGUCUUAUUUAGUAGCUGUGACGAGACAAUCUCGCCACUGUGCAUUGGAGGAGCCUGGUUGCCCGCCUGCUGCCUUUAGACUAUGGCCCCAUGUUGAAACGCUUGAUUUUCCCCUGCAAAGACAUGAAAGCCGGGUCAUUCGGUUUGUCCUGUUUGAGCGGUGAUACGCCAGAUAGCUAUGCCAUGGAGCCCAUUCAUAUAAUGAAAGACUAUGGGAAAGACUUUGGCUCCAUGGCAAUUGAACUGUAUGUGUGUGGUCUGAGCCCAAUUCAGUAAUAAUGUGUGCUCAGACCUAAGCUAUCUGGGGAUAUGUUGCAUGUCUGUAUUUUAUGUAAUAAAUGUAACCUUGUGUAUUUUAUUGUAUUUUACUGUCUUUUUACUGCCAUGUGCUUAAUGGAGUUUUGCCUCUGUCCUUGGAGAUAAUUGGAUUACUUCCCAAUUAUCUCCAGGAUAGAAGACUCGGUGGAACUGGUUUUGGGCAGAAAAGCCAUGCUUCAUUUGGUCACAAAGGACUACGAUCUAUCUUUUGAACCAAUGGACCAAUUUGGAUGAUUUUGACAUAUGUUUGUAUUUGGAGUAUGCUGAUUCUGAAAAUGUAAGGUUUUUUUUAUGUGAAUGUGAUGCAUACUUUUCAAGUUAUGAAUAAUGUGGAAAAAUUGUAUUUCUCUGCUUGUGAUAAUUACAUUACCCAUUGUGUAAGGUAAUUGUAUCACAGGCAGAGGGGAGGAUUUUGUGUGGGAGUGUCUGAGUGUUUUGUAUGUGUUUAUUGGUUGUGUUCCAAAACCCUGUGGGUGGUACUAAUGUGUAUAUAAGAACAAUAAACCCACAGCUCUGUCUGUUCACUGCUUGACCCUCGACACGGAGCUUUGUCUUGUUCUUGGGGGGAUUUAUCAUGCUGUUCCAGUUCGACUGCUAGGAGUGUAAACCUAUUUGUAUGGUUUUUCCUAUUCAGCUGAUUACAGCAUUCAUAUGGUUUCCUGUUCGGCGGAUUGGUGUUCUGCAGUAGCUGUGCCUGUGUCUCUGGAAGGGAAGAUCUACUAAACGGCGGUUUAGCCCUUUUAUGUCUGGGGGUGCCGUUACAGUAGCCAUUUAGUCACAAACCCUGUAACGAUAUGAAAAUCGGGUACACCAAAACAAUCUCGAUCUUACUUACAAAACACAUAUAACCUUAUAACAGAGCUCCCGUACUCCAACUGAGUACCUCUGCCAGGUCAACCUAAUCUCUGUUACCAGGGACUCUGGAGUGCUUCAGACCCAGUCACCAAAGCUGGACUGAGGGUUUUGAGGGCCUCUCUUACCGGACCAGGCUGCUGCCCCCCUUUUCCAGCUAGGUAUUGUCCUCUGUCUUUGCCUCUUCUGUCUUUGCCCAGGGUAUUCAAAAUGUGGUAUGUCCAGUCUUUUUUAGUAGUCACUUAGCCACAAUUUGCCUGGCUAUUAGUUUUUUUGCAUUUUUCACACAAAAACGGCACUUUCACCGAUGAUAUCAUCAUCAUCGUGAUACAUUUUAGUACUCUAAAACACUAAUAGUAAAACAUUCAGCUAUGUCUCAAUGUCUCACAAGUACAACAGUACCCCCUAUUUACAGAUUUUAUGGUGUUUUGGAAAGUCACAGGGUAAAUUUAAAUAUGUAAAAACUGGGCAAGCUUUUAUUUUGACCCUGUAACUUUCCACAACACCAUGAAACCUGUACAUUGGUGGCAUUGUUAUCUGUAUGAAUUUGUGUGUAUGUGUCGGUGUAUUUAUAUGCAUCUGUGUGUUAACAUGCAUGAAUAUCUGUGUAAGUAUGUAUGUAUGUGCAUACAUUCAAGCAGUCAAACACCAGCACAACAUACAAGCACACUCCUGCAAUCUAACACAAAUAUUAAAUACACACACCCCUGCAUUCAAAUUAAAAAAAUAUAUACAAACACACCCCCUCACUCAAACACAAAUACCUCACACAAAUGUACAUCCGCAUUUAAAUGUGAACAUUACAUUCAGACACAUCCCUGCAAUCAAACGCAAACAUUACAUACAAACACACCCCUGUAUUAAAACACAAUAAAUGUAUACAAGCACCCCUUCAAACACCAUCACUGUACAUUACACUAUAGCGCCAGUAAAUGCCGCAGCGCUGUACAGAUAUACAACCUAGAAAUUUUGACUUGGGGUGCCUUGGAAAAGUACUGAAAUACUAAGGGCGCCUUGAGCCUAAAAAGUUUGGGAACCAUUAGAUUAAUCUGUCUCACAGUCACAGCUCUCCUGAGUAAAAAUAAACAUCACCUGUUUGUAUUAAACCCAGGGGCAUUUUAGCCGCGAGGUUAACAAGGCAUUUGCCUUGGGCGGCAUUUUCCAGGGGGCGGCAAAAAAAGCCGCCCCCCAAGUGCCCAGGGCAAAUGCCUUGUUAACCUCGUGGCUAACUGACAUGCUGAUCGGGCGGCUGGCGAGGUAGCUCUUUUUCUGAGCGGUCUGCUCAGCUCCCUCGCGCGCCGCAGAGUGAGGCUGGGAGCCGGAAUAUGACGUCUUAUUCCGGCUCCCAGCCUCACUCUGCGGUGCGCGAGGGAGCUGAGCAGACAGCUCAGAGGAAGUGCUCCCAACCGCGCGCCCGCCAGCCGCCCGACUGCUCAGCAGCCACUGGACCACCACUGGACCACCCUCCCCCGCCCAGCAUUCCCAAAGGUAAGGAGGCUGGGGGGCGGGGAUUUAAUAAGUAAAAAAAAUAUGUUAAUGUGAGUAAGUGUGUGUAUAUGUGUGUGUUUAAAGAUUUACAAACAAAACGUUUAUCGUGAAAUAAUUAUAGCAGCUACCACUGUGAAUAGGGACUCUCCACCCUAUAUAUACAUAUAAAAGUGAACAAAGUGUAGGAGAUUAGAAAAAACUUUGAUUGAGUCACGUGGAACGCACCGAAACCGGAAGCUUGACGGCUACCAAUAAGAAUUAUCCUGCAAAGAAGUAUGUCAGUAUGGGGAUUGGAUAAUAAGAAGAUUGGAGCACCAAUCAAAUAGAAAGACAUGAUAUUUAAACCUCCGCAAGCAGCAAACACAUUACCGAUUGAGAAAGCUGUCACAGUACAGCAAAACGCGUCUCGGCUGGAAGAAAGGACUUUUAAUUGACUUUUUAUUCAUUUUUCUUUAUAUAAUUUAAUACUUCCUUUAUUUUGUUUGCAUUAUAUUUUAAUGAAUAAAUUUUGUCCAACAUUGAAGUCCUUCUUCCAUCUUUUUGCUGGUAAAAGAAGGGUGGUAGCCUCCUUAAAGGCACAGAAACCUACAUACUAGGAGCCAGGUAUAAGGGCUCCCUACCAGGUGAGAAGCCAUUUAUUUAAAUAUUCACCAUUGAACAUUGUGAUUUACUACACAAGGAUCUCUCCUUUUUUACUUCCUUUAUGUAUGUAUAAGGACCACAGACAAGUAGAGGAUCGAUUGGGUUUUGUGUCGCCUAAAGUACACACACGCCGCUGUGAUCUGAGCCUAUCCUAAUUGGCUCAGUUACAUGUGAGUGGGUCUAUAUAGUAUAUUUACUUACUGUGUCUGUUACCCAGCGUUACUUGCACUAUUUGUAUUUAUUUGUUUCAGAUACACUGUUUCAGAGUAUCCCCUUUAUAUAUUUGUAUGCAUACCCAUAUGGGUAAGUUGGUUAACAUUUGAGCGCUCCACAUGUACACCAGUGGUGGUUUUUUCUAAUCUCCUACACUGAGUGUUCACUUUGUUCACUUUUAUAUGUAUAUGUGUGUGUGUGUCUGUUAGUGAGUGUGUGUCUGUUAGUGAGUGUGUGUCUGUUAGUGUGUUUGUCUGUUAGUGUGUGUGUGUUUCUGUUAGCUAGUGUAUGCGUAUCUGUCAGUGAAUGUGUGUGUGUAUUUAGAAGGUGGGGCGGGGGCAAGGAUUGGGUGGGGUGGCACGGGGGGAGGGGGCACAAAACCAGGAUACACCACUGAUUAAACCCCAUUUGUUUUUGAAAAGUUCAAAAAAUCUUAUACAGCUACCAAAUACACCCAAAUGUCAUCAAAUCAUUUGUGAAUGAGAGAGAAUUUUUACUGUGAAUUCUACUCCAAGAUCGAAAACUCAACAAUCCCUGUCAUCACUUAAACAUUGAUGAAGUAGCCUUCACGCCGUAACAAAAAUAUGAUAAAAUAAUAGAAACUAGAAUAAGUUAAAGUAUUUAUUUUGGAUUUAGAGCAAGGGUUUGCAAUACUACCUCAUUUUUGGAUCAGCUUUUUCGCCUUUGUGUUCUUUUUUGUUGCUGUUUGAUGUAACAGAGUAUUAGUCAAAUUAACAAGCAAAACGAAGAAUAAAAAAAAUACUAUUCUUUUGUUUAUUUAAAAAAACAAUUAUUAAUGUUUUGGUGGUAGUGUUACUUUAAUGUGUAAGCUUUAAACACCAUUGUGUUAUAUGCAAAAAUAUAUAGAUUGUAAUGUAUUAUUAUGCAUAAUAAUUGUUGUGUAUUUAUUAUUAUUUUUAAUCCUUUACAAUUUAAAUUUGUAUUAUUGACAUAUAUGUUGCACCAGCAAAUUCCACAGUGCUUGACAAUAUCAUUAAGGGGAGUUCAGCAAUAAAUGAGACAAACUGUUACAGAUUUUGACAGGAACCAUAGGUUGAUGAGGACCAUACACACCAGGAAGGGCAGCGUGAGGGAAUGGAACCAAAUGACAGGGUAGAACAUUAGCAGAACUGGACAGUGAGAGUGAAGUGAAGAACGGACCCACUAAUUUAGUUGAGAGAGUAAAAGCAGUUACGUUUGGAUUCUGAAGAGGUGGAUUUUUAAGGACUUUUUUAGGGAAAGUUUUAUGGAAGAUAUAGAGUCAGCGAUGAGAUGCCUGCAAGCGCGAGUUAGCAGUAUGGGUACAUGCAGCAGACAGAAGAUAUUUAACGGCAGAGCGUUGCGUCUAGUGAAGGGGUAUACCUAUGAAUUGGUGAAAAAAAUAUAGGGGGGCACAGGGAGCAGAAUUUCAGUAAUCAAUGAGAUAAACUACAAGAGCACGAACAGGCUCCUUAGCAGCAUCAUGUGUAAGGAAACGGCGGAUGCAGGCAAUGUUUUGUAGAUACAAUUGGCAUGAAUUGGCGACACAUUGGAUAUGACUCGUAAUGUUGGGAUAUAACUGAAAACAAAAAAAAAAAGUGUGAAAGCAGAGGUUAUCGAGGGCCGUACUUGGGCAAGCCGGUUUAUCCCGAAGAAGAGGCCUGAGUGGUUUUAAAAUGCUAGCAUUCAGGAUCUCUAGUUUGCCAAUAACAAUGUAACCCUUACUACAAUGGUCUCCUGUAUAUCUGGACAUGGACUCUUAUACUAUAAACAUGGACUACUCUCUGCUCAGAAACCGCUGCUGAGGAAUACACGAUGCAGAUCACGAAACACAUAUACUCAGAAAGACUAUGCAAAAUUGAAAUACAUAAAAAAAAGCUUAACACGGUGCUGAUGGAUUUUGCCUAAUGUUCCAAAUGGGUCACAAGACUGUUACCUAACUAAGAUAGAUACUUAGACAUUAGAGGUGGCUCACUUUGCAUGAGUACAUAGAUAGCCAUACUAUUUAUUUGAAUAUUUUUUUGUAAUUUUAUUUGAGCUUUUUAAUGCGUAAUUUUAUGCUUAUUUAUUCAUAAAAAUAUAUAUUUUACCAAUGUUACCCAUUUAACACUUUGCAUUAGGCAAGUAGUUGGGAUGCAGCAAACAGGCCAAGCAGAAAUGGUCCUUAAAUAAUAAUGUGGGGAGAAAAUAAUUUAUUAGAUUUCCAAUCUCCCUGCACGACCUGACCCAAACUGCGUUUUGUCCCAUUGAAAUUAUAUUUUGGCUUGCAAGGAAAAUAUCUAGAGGUAAAAGUAGGUCUGAAGGUAUUGUAGAUCCUACCCCAACCUCCCCACACCAAAAAAAAGUAAAAAUUUAAGUAAAGGAGGAUGCAAUCAUAAGACCCCUAGAUGUUCUUACAGUUACGCAGAAACCCUAAGGAAUAAGGGAAAGACCUUGUUUAGAGAAUAGCCCAUUUAAAAUACAAGAAAGACAUGUGAAAACAGUGGAGGCAGUAAAAGGUGUUUAGAAAAUUGCCUUAAAAGACCAAAUUUCUGUUCCAUUUGAAGGAACCAUCCAAACGUAUAAAGCAGAGAUUGCAGUAGCUCGAUAUACCGGAUCUACAGCUAUUGCAAGCCAACAUUUCAUAUAUCCCCAAAGAAAACACAAAACAAAUUACUUAAAGGACCACUAUAGUGCCAGGAAAACAUACUCGUUUUCCUGGCACUAUAGUGCCCUGAGGGUGCGCCCACCCUCACGGACCCCCUCCCGCCCGGCUCUGGGGAGAGGAAAGGGGUAAAAACGUACCUUUUUCCAGCGCUGGGCGGGGAGCUCUCCUCUUCCGAUCCUCCUCCGAUCCUCCCCUUCGGCUGAAUGCGCACGUGCUGCAAGAGCUGCGCGCGCAUUCAGCCGGUCGCAUAGGAAAGCAUUCACAAUGCUUUCCUAUGGACACUGGCGUGCUCUCACUGUGAAAAUCACAGUGAGAAGCACGCUAGCGCCUCUAGCGGCUGUCAAUGAGACAGCCGCUAGAGGCUUUGGGGGAAGGAUUAACCCAUUCACAAACAUAGCAGUUUCUCUGAAACUGCUAUGUUUAUAAAAGAAUGGGUUAACCCUAGCUGGACCUGGCACCCAGACCACUUCAUUAAGCUGAAGUGGUCUGGGUGCCUAGAGUGGUCCUUUAACGGUUACAUUGUCUCAUGGAUUAUUCCUUCAAUUAUGUACGAUUUAACAUUUAGCAAACUAUGAUGCAUUUUAUUCAUUACUGUUUGGAAUGUUCCGGUAUUUGUGGAAAGUAAAAAAUGUUGCACUCUUUCGUAAAAAAUUUAAAUUAAAAAAGGAGAUCUUGUAUAUUCACUGCUGUAAUUUGCCAUAAUAUGUUAUGUUUAUAAUAAAUGCUGAGUAACUGAAAUAAAG